rnacentral:rRNA from 1 species
UACGUAGGCAGCAAGCGUUGUUCGGAAUUACUGGGCGUAAAGGGUGCGUAGGCGGCUUUUUAAGUUUGGUGUGAAAUCUCCCGGCUCAACUGGGAGGGUGCGCCGAAUACUGAGAAGCUAGAGUGUGGGAGAGGAAAGUGGAAUUCCUGGUGUAGCGGUGAAAUGCGUAGAUAUCUGAAGGAACAUCAGUGGCGAAAGCGACUUCCUGGACCAAUACUGACGCUCAUGUGCGAAAGCGUGGGGGAGCAAACAGG